CAUACUAGUGUGAAUAUAUCUAUCUAUACAAGUACAUAGUUAGAAAAAAUACUUCGAAAUCUUGAACAUAAGAUUCUCAGUCUCUAUGAUUUUCCCUAUAUCAAAUUCAGGGAUAGUUCUUGAACAAUGUGUAUUCACAUUUUAAAACGUUCAUAUAAAACAAAUUUUGGACAAACUGAUAGUUUCUAUAUGUGUCAAUGCUGCCCAGGAGCCAUGUUACAUAAUUGCCAAAAAUGUAUACGGCUCUAGUGUAGCCAAUGUUUUGAGUGGGGCCCACAGCUGACCGUAGCAAAAAUAGCAACUGUAGCAAAAAGUGGAAAAGUCGAAAAGCUGGCGAAUGUUGCAUAGUUGUAUAUUUCCUGUUUGUGGUGCAUAAAAUAGUGGGUUCCAAUAUAGCUCUCACUUUUGAGCUCGGCACAUACCACUGCAUAUCAGAGUAAUUUUGUGUAUUGAAACGAAUGGCAACUGUACAGCACCACAGUGGCUAGAAGGCAUGGCCGGUACACUCGAGCACUUCAGCACUUCAGUCACUUAAUUUCGUUGCCUGCGACAAUUGUUUGAGUAGAAGUAAUGCCAAAGAUAGGAUACUCGGCGCAGUGCACUUGUCGGCUUAUGGUUAUUUAUCGACAUUCAAAAGGCUAAGGAGCUCGCAACGCAUUGCGCAACCCAUCUAUGCAUGAUGUUGGCGAUUCUCGAGCGCAUAAAUCUUUAAUUAUAGCAAAAUGCGCCGCGAGAUGCAAAUCAAUAAGAAGUGUGAACAAAUUUAGUGUAAAUUUAUGUCGCCCAACUCGAUUUGGAAUAUAAUCGUCAAAAGCCCAACAAUUGGCAGCUUCUGAUGGCAAUAGUAUUUGAGCCAUUUGUCGUGGCUGCGCACCCAGGAAGUGACUGUUGACUGUAACGGCGGUUUUAGAAAGGAAAAUCUCAACUAACGAUCCCAAACUUCCUGCGCACAUGCAAAGCGAUCGCAAGGUAAUCGCCGCUCCGCUAUCCAAUGCUGGCAACAAAAGAAAUAGCAAUACGGCAAAAUGAAGUAAAGCUUGUCUGUUCGCCGAAAUUUUGCCUUGAGGUCUCCGAUACGCCUUCUCGUUGAAUUGUGCAAUCGAUUAAAAACUGAAAGCUGACCAGUGCUUGUUUUCCAUCUACGAAGCGUGCGUUUAAUUGUGGGCCGCACCUACCGAGCUCAUAGACACAAGAAAACAAACACAAACUCGAUGGCAGGAGAUAUCAUUAUUAAUUUGUAAUGCGAGGUGUGCAAACGCAAUUAGGAAAAAAAAUUAAUUAAAAAUAUAAAGCCAUUGGCAAAAUACUUGAAAUUCAGCAACAAAUUGUAUCAAUUGCAGAACUGAAAACGUUUUUAAUUUAACAAUUAAUAAGUGUAUUUAUAAAGUUAGCACUCGGAAAUGCAGACCGAGUAGAAAUAAGUUAAUAAGCUAAUGACCUCAAUAGCAGACUUAAUGCCCGGAAGUAGUAAAGCCACAUAAAUUCCUGUCAAUCGACAGAAAAGCGUAUCAAUAGAUAUUAUGUAGCCGCUAUACAAAUUGUCUAAGUAUUUGUCAGGUUGCCUUUUUAUGUGCUGUAUAGUACUUCAACUUUCAAUAAAAGUCGCGUAAUGUGUUGCUCUUAUUUUUGAACAAGUAGAGCAGCAAAAGCGAAGAAAUCGACAAGCGUUGAACAAACCCACAAAAAAAAAAAAAAAAAAAAAAAAAAAAAAAAAAAAAAAUAAAGCCAAUCAGGCUUAUGGCCGAAUUACUGUGCAUUGCAUAACACAACCCAGCCAUGCUCUUAGCAACUAGCUAAGCAAAUCCACGUACACAUUUUGUUUAGUGGAGCAGAAAGUACAAACGGCAACAAUGAAUCGGCAAAUGUGUUACCAAGUGUGUUGUAGCUGGAGCUGGCUGCCUGAUUGGCUGGCUGGCGGCUGGCUGGCCAAGACAAAUGUCAUCCUAGGCUACGACGACACUAGACUUUUGCAUUGGCACGUGAUUAGCUUACUUUUGCAGCUGGCACUGGUGGCCAUAGCGCAUAUAUCACUCAGUCAAAGAGUGGGUCAGACGGGACUGAAAGCAACGACGCUUUUGUGUGAUAAUUAUACAAGCUAUGGUGCGUGCUGCAUGCUAAGCAGAUCUUAUCCAGCAGCCUUGACAUGAUUGCUCAUGUGACGUCCAUUAGAAAAACAUGUAUGUGCAAGCAAAAUAGAAUGCGCACUUGAGAGCGCACAACGUAAACAAACCCUGCAGAGCUUUCGCACAUCCUCAUUUGUUAUUCGAAACAAUGCCUCGCAUCAGCUGACCGAAAUGGGAUCAACAAUACUUUGCAUUUAUAGGGUCGGCCUCAUCGGUCAUCGGUCCCAUCCCCUUGCAAUACUUCGAUAAGCCAAUUUUCUUUAUUUUCAAUUGGGCAUCAGAAGAGUAGGUAUAUUGAACUAGUUGCAUAUAGAAGCAUAUUAUUAUUGGUCAACAGUAAUUAACAAUUCAUCUACAGUCAAUUGAAGUAAUGACGAAAAGCCAACCGCCAAAGGCCUUAUCUGGCGUAGAAACUGUUAUUGGGAACAAUGGAAAAGUAAAAAGUGAAUGUAAAUUUGUUUUGGGAAAAGGUGUCUCUAUCAAGCAAAAUAUAUUAUGUUACUCAAAAAAAAUAUAUUUAAGGUGCCUUACGCCGCCUUGUGGCUGGUCAAAAGUGCAGCCCGACUUCACGUUAUUAUAACUUGUUUUUGUUUGAAAAUGCUCACGUUACAAUUAAAGUAUAGCAUAAUAAUGUUUAGUUGCAGUCCGACGCCUGCCUCUGUGUAUGUCUGUGUGUGAGGCAAUUGAGGUGGGUCAAAAAAACGAAUGGGUACAGACUCAAGCCACAGUGUCCCAAAUAAAAGCUAUUAAAUUGGAAAAAAAAAAAA